AGGAUUAGAUACCCGGGUAGUCCCAGCUGUAAACGAUGCAGACUAGGUGUUUGAACGGCCACGUGCCGUUCUAGUGCCGCAGGGAAGCUGUUAAGUCUGCCGCCUGGGGAGUACGAUCGCAAGAUUGAAACUUAAAGGAAUUGGCGGGGGAGCACCACAAGGGGUGAAGCUUGCGGUUUAAUUGGAGUCAACGCCGGAAAUCUCACCGGGAGCGACAGCAGUAUGAAAGCCAGAUUGAAGGUCUUGCUAGACGAGCUGAGAGGAGGUGCAUGGCCGUCGCCAGUUCGUGCCGUGAGGUGUCCUGUUAAGUCAGGCAACGAUCGAGACCCGCGUCCUCUGUUGCAACCAGCUUUGAGCUGGGCACACUGAGGAGACCGCCACUGAUAAAGUGGAGGAAGGAGCGGGCCACGGCAGGUCAGUAUGCCCCGAAUCUCCCGGGCCACACGCGAGCUGCAAUGGCAAGUACAAUGGGUUCCGACCUCGAAAGGGGGAGGCAAUCUCGAAAGCUUGCCGUAGUUGGAAUUGAGGGUUGAAACCCACCCUCAUGAACAUGGAAUCCCUAGUAAUCGCGUGUCACUAGCGCGCGGUGAAUACGUCCCUGCUCCUUGCACACACCGCCCGUCGUUCCAUCCGAGUGACUCUUGGGUGGGGCACCGUCUAAUUGGCGGCGUCGAAUCUAAGUUUCACAAGGAGGGAAAAGUCGUAACAAG
rnacentral:rRNA from 1 species